rnacentral:rRNA from 1 species
AUGGCUGCUGCGCAUGUAUGCUUCUCCUUAUCCUCGGCGCCGUUGCACCUUCCCGCUUUGCCGGUGGCCAGAAAUGGUGGCCGGAGUGGCCAAAACCGUGGCUUAUUUCGCCCUUCCACGGUGAUAUAUCCCGGGCGGGAGCCGGUGUUCCAUGAGCUGUCCGACGAUUUUGACUUCCAGAAAAGCCUAUCGAAUGUUCAAGCAUUGCUUCAUCAACAUCUGAAGAUCAGAAAAGGAAUGUUGAGCACGGUUGAUCACCUCAAGCGCCUCUGCAUUGACCACUAUUUCCACGAUGAAAUUGAUAACAUAAUGGACUCGUGUGUGAAUCUCAUCCAUAGUGAUGAUCUACUUGACGCAACCCUUUCCUUAAGGUUGAUGAGAGAAGCUGGAUAUUCUUUUUCGGCAGACGAUGUUCUUCGGAAGUUCACAAACAAUAAUGGUGAUUUCAAACUUAGGCAUAGCAAAGACCUUAGAGGGUUGCUGAGCUUGCAAGACAUGUCACACCUCAACAUGGGAGAAGCUUCACUCUACAAGGCAAAGGAAUUCUCAAGCAAGCACCUUAAAUUUGCAAUUAAGUAUUUGGAGCCAAACCUUGCGAGAUAUGUCAUGAAGUCACUGGACCAUCCCUACCAUGUGAGCUUGAUGCAAUACAAGGCUAGGCAUCAUCUGAGUUACCUCCAAAACUUGCCUACUAGGCACACUGCAAUUGAGACGCUAGCACUUGCAGAAUUUCAGAUCAAGAAGUUGCAGCAUCAAAGGGAAAUGCAAGAGGUUAAGAGAUGGUGGAUUGAUCUGGGACUGGCUCAAGAAAUACCAGCUGCAAGGUACCAAGUUCUGAAAUGGUACAUGUGGUCCAUGACUAUCCUCGACGGUUUAUCCUUCUCUAGAUAUCGGGUUGAGGCCACAAAGGUUAUAUCAAUGGUCUACAUUGUGGAUGACAUCUUUGAUCUUGUCGCCACACAAGAGGAGCUCUCUCUCUUUAAUGAGGCGAUCAAAAUGUGGGAUCUUGCAGCUGCUGAGUCACUACCGAGUUACAUGAUAUCAUGUUACAAGGCUCUUUACACCAUCACAAAUGAUAUUGCCGAUAUGGUCAGAAAAGAGCAUGGAUUUAACCCUAUCAAUCACCUCAAGAAAGCAUGGGUAUCUUUGUUUGAUGGAUUCAUGAUCGAGGGAAAAUGGCUAUCCACUAAUCAGAUCCCUACAUCAAAGGACUACCUAAGAAAUGGCAUCAUCACUUCAGGAGCACCACUUUUAUUUAUGCAUCUUUUAUUCAUGCUAGGGCAUGAUUUAACAGAGGACAACAAUGACCACAUACUUAGGGUCAUAUCCUGCCCUGCAAAGAUCAUGAGGCUCUGGGAUGACAUGAGGAGUGCAAAGGAUGAGUUGCAAGAAGGGCUCGACGGAUCAUACAAGGAUUUGUACCAGAGAGAAAACCCUCAUGCUGAUGCGGAGAAGCACAUGUUGGAUAUGAUCGCGGGUGAAUGGGAGGAUCUAAACAGGGAAUGCUUCUCUAACACAAUGUCCACACUACCACCUAGCUUCAUUGGGGCGUCUCUCAACUUCGCAAGGAUGGUCAGCAUCAUGUAUGGCUAUGACAAUGAGCAGAGGCUCCCCGUCCUGGAGGAUUACACUAGGAUGUUGCUCUUUUGA